CAAAAGGCUCUUUUCAGAGCCACCACUUCCACUUAAAAGAGCUGU
rfam:Mesocricetus auratus contig023759, whole genome shotgun sequence.